GAAAAGCUCAUGCAAGUGCAACCAUGGAAGAAUUUGGGUUCAACCUACCUAUCUCUGGUUUUUAAGUCGGUUUGAGCUACACAAGAAGAACUAAGAGGAAAACAAAGCAUAGAAUUUUCGUGCAAAUCAGAAGGAUCUCUGCUUUUCUCUGGUUUUUCGAACAUUCUGGGGUGUACAGGAGAAAGGUAGAGGGUAGCAGAGAAGCACGAAUCUUUAUUCGCUGUGUUCAAGGGAUUUCUGGACAAAUCCGUUGGGAAUCUCGUUUUUAUUCCUUCAGUUACGUUUUAGAGGGUUCCAAAAUGAAGAGUUUGAUAUAAAGUAAGUUAAUUUUGGUCAAGUAUUGAGGAAGUUAUGAGUGUUGGAAGUUAGGAUAUUGAAUCUUGAAAAUCUGGAAAGAAAAUGUGAAGUGUGAUUUUAUUUCUAGAAUUUAGAAUUCAUGAGCAUGGAAAGACAAGACGAUUUAUAGUUCUGAUGCUCGGUUUCGGUUGUUUGACAGGCCAAGAGGAAAUAGGCCGAGUCUACAGACCAGGGAACUAGCCAAGACUGUUAUAUUCCGUUGUUGACGUUGAGUGUACUCCGUGACAACGAUGCUGUCGGGAGUGCUGGGCGGGCCCCACUACGAAAAAGGCUAUGGGAGUGCUGGGCGGGCCCCACUACAUCGUAGAGCUAGUAAACGUUGGUUGUACUGGGCGUGCCCUGCACAACGUAGAUUUUUCAUGUAGAGAUCGAGCUCCCGGUGCCUAAUAACUGCCAAAGUCUGUUUUCUCCUAAAAACUUCCAGAUCAAGCUUCAUACGUGGGUGGAGUUGUAGGCUGUGUCUGUUUAUACUGUAAAUGUCUUUGUAAGAACUGGAUAGUUUAGGGUUGUGUAAGCACUAGAUGUCGUGGUUGUGUAAACCCCAAUUGGAUAUGUUUUUUGUUGUGAUAUCUGUAUCAGGUUAUUUUCCAAACCGAGUUAUGUCAGGACUGAACUUCAUGUGUGUCUAAAGGCUUUCAUGGA